GCUUCGGCGCACCCAGAAACCCUUUGUGAACUUAUACCUAUUGUUGCCUCGGCGCAGGCCGGCCUCUUCACUGAGGCCCCCUGGAAACAGGGAGCAGCCCGCCGGCGGCCAACCAAACUCUUGUUUCUAUAGUGAAUCUCUGAGUAAAAAAACAUAAAUGAAUCAAAACUUUCAACAACGGAUCUCUUGGUUCUGGCAUCGAUGAAGAACGCAGCGAAAUGCGAUAAGUAAUGUGAAUUGCAGAAUUCAGUGAAUCAUCGAAUCUUUGAACGCACAUUGCGCCCUCUGGUAUUCCGGAGGGCAUGCCUGUUCGAGCGUCAUUUCAACCCUCAAGCCUGGCUUGGUGAUGGGGCACUGCCUGUAAUAGGGCAGGCCCUGAAAUCUAGUGGCGAGCUCGCCAGGACCCCGAGCGUAGUAGUUAUAUCUCGCUCUGGAAGGCCCUGGCGGUGCCCUGCCGUUAAACCCCCAACUUCUGAAAAUUUGACCUCGGAUCAGGUAGGAAUACCCGCUGAACUUAAGCAUAUCA
rnacentral:rRNA from 1 species